UAGGGAAUAUUGCAAAAUGGGCGAAAGCCCGAUGCGGCAACGCCGCGUGGGCGAUGAAGGCCUUCGGGUCGUAAAGCCCUUUUUGAGGGGAUGAGGAAGGACAGUACCCUCAGAAUAAGCCUCGGCUAACUACGUGCCUGCAGCCGCGGUAAAACGUAGGAGGCGAGCGUUAUCCGGAUUUACUGGGCGUAAAGCGCGUGCAGGCGGAUUGGAGAGUUGGAUGUGAAAGCUCCCGGCUUAACUGGGAGAGGUCGUUCAAUACUUCCAGUCUUGAGUGCAGUAGAGGGAAGUGGAAUUCCGGGUGUAGUGGUGAAAUGCGUAGAUAUCCGGAGGAACACCAGUGGCGAAAGCGGCUUCCUGGACUGUAACUGACGCUCAGACGCGAAAGCUAGGGUAGCAAACG
rnacentral:rRNA from 1 species